rnacentral:lncRNA from 1 species
ACAAAUACCUAUGUUCAUAUUUGUUAAAGCAAAUAUGUACAAGUAAUAGAUACUUUUGUUCAUAUUUGUUAAAACAACAGGUACAGUAAUUUUUGGUAGAAAAAAAGGUAUAGUCCCUAUUUCUCUCUAUGGCCACCACAUUUACUCAUCCUGUUUUUAAAGGAUGAAUGGGUCUUUUACAAAUUACUCUGUCCUGGCUCUAGGAUGUAGGUGUAGUAACAUUUGUCUGCCUUUGUAGUAGACAAAUACUUCUCUGAAUGUCAGAAAUCAACCCUCAUAGUUUUUUUUUUUUUUUUCUGCUAGCUUCCUCUCUGUCUCUCAAAGCAAGUGAAAUG